rnacentral:tmRNA from 1 species
GGGGAUGAAAGGCUUUCGACAGGGUUGUUGAACCUCGGUCAGCGAGUAGCGGAGUUGCACCGCUUAAAAAGUAACAACUUAAAUAUUAACUGACAAUAAUAAAACAGUUCUUAAGGCUGCCUAAGUGCGCCUUCGUUCUCCUUGGGUAGUGCCACGAACCCUUUGAGAGCGUCGACUUAGUGGCGAACAUGAACGGGAGAGCGUCUCGGCUCCCGUCAGGUAUCAGAGACUACCGUACCCCGUAGGCUGUUUGUUGCCGACCGGCGAGGGGAAUCAUAAAUAACAAACUACACUCGUAGAGCCCCCGGCAAGACAAUUUUGGACACGAGUUCGACUCUCGUCAUCUCCACCA